AAGGUGGGAUUUGUUGGUGAAUGUUUCACGAGAAUCGUUGUUGGACCUGCCAUGGUCACAAUAAAUACAAUGCAAUAAAUCCCCCGAGACGGAGACGUUUGUCCUGGUCCGCCUCAUUUGUAGAGACCCCGACAUGAUUGCUUGGACUUGCGGACCAGGGCGGCUGGGUUCCUCCAUUGGACCGGCUGUGCAGCGCACGCAACAGGAGGCUGCUGCCGCACGCUGCAAACUCACCUGGCAGGAAUCUUUGCCACCAUUCUGGGAGCCAGCGCAGAUCAUGUUCUGUGUGAUCCUGAAGUAGUAGAAGUACCAGCAGUUGGGGAAGAUGUUCACAUCCACAGCUCUCAGUACGGGAGAGAGCUGAUAGUAGUUGAGGGAGAUCACGCCCCAGCCGCUGACUGUGCAUACAGUGUCUUGAUCCAGCGGGACUAGGUUCAAAUCUGGCAACGUGACAGUAUCCACCCAGGAAUUGAUUUCUGCUGGUUUGUGCAACUAAGAGCAGGAGAAGCAUGCAGGUGGUCAGUACAGUGUGUAAUGCUCAUAACAAGGUGAGCAUCUCACUCACUUUUGUUUGAAGACUUUUCAUAAUGAAAACGUCUAAGCGUCAACAACUAAAUAUUUAUAUACGUUUGGUUGGAACAGGUUUUGGUUUGAAGGCUAGGAUUAAAAAGGACCAUUCAUAGAAUACAUAUAUAUAUGAGCUCCAGUCUGACUGAUGACCACACAAAUAUGUUCUGUCAUCACCUAAAUGCAUAUUUUGACCAGUUUUAGGGGCAUCAUCUAUAAUAAGGUACUGUUUCUGUUUGUUGAACAACUCCAGGCCUCAUUCUGCAUUAGUUAAAACUAAUGGCUGUGUUUACAUGGUGCCUGUUCUGCCCUGGCCUGCCUGCGGUCCAGAUCUGUCUCUUUUUAAAAAUGGCCAGUGUGUCAUGGAGCAACUGAUAAGCAGCUCCAGUGUUUGUGUUAUUAGGAACAACAGUCGACAGUACCUGCAAAACUGCCACUCAGUAAAAUAAAUAUUGAUUGUACUUUAUAAUAAUAAAAUAAAUCAAUAAGAAUAAUAAUUGAGUCCCACAAUGGGGAAAUCUACUGUGGGAGGAAAAGGCAAUUAACACAAGCUGCCCCAAGAGGUGCCAACUUACAGGGCCUUAAUACGACCCAACAUAAAUGUUACUCUGUCUUAACUGGCCAGGGUUUGUAUUUUUUUUCCAGAUGAAUAAUUAGUUCUGAUUAAAUAAAACAUAUUUUAGCUCCUACUGAAAAAUACACCAAAAUUACCCUGUAAAAAAUAAUAACUCAUUUAUGUUAUUUGUGUGAAUUUCCAGUAUCACUGCUCACUUUAAGAAUUCAUUUUUUGUCAGUACCAUCAAAAAUGUUGCUUAUACAGGAUAGAACAUUGGGGAAGUUUUACAGUUAUAGGCUUCAGUUUUUAAUAAAUGCAUUAUUUUUACAAG